CGGCGCUAGGCUGACCCUGCUGCUGGUGACGGAAGUACCGCCUCCUCCCGUCUGACGCCCCUCAGGGGACCCUGCGCCGCUCCAGCCGCCGCGGCCAUGUCUGGGCCAAGCAACAAACGCGCCGCCGGCGACGGGGCUCAGGGCCCCCGGAGAAGAAGCUAAGUCGUGAGGAGAAGACCACCACGACUCUUAUCGAGCCCAUUCGUCUUGGAGGCAGCUCUUCCACGGAGGAGAUGGACCUGAAGGUACUACAGUUCAAGAACAAGAAACUGGCAGAGCGGCUGGAACAACGGCAGGCUUGUGAAGAUGAACUCCGAGAACGAAUUGAGAAGUUGGAGAAGCGGCAGGCCACAGAUGAUGCCACACUCCUCAUCGUCAAUCGCUACUGGGCCCAGCUGGAUGAAACUGUGGAAGCCCUUCUCCGAUGCCAUGAGAGCCAGGGGGAGCUGUCUUCAGCGCCUGAGGCACCUGGGACCCAGGAGGGGCCAACAUGUGAUGGGACUCCUCUCCCAGAGCCGGGGACAUCAGAGCUGAGGGACCCCUUGCCGAUGCAGCUGCGGCCCCCUCUCAGUGAGCCGGCCUUGGCUUUUGUGGUGGCACUGGGUGCCAGCAGCAGUGAGGAGGUGGAGCUGGAGCUGCAAGGCCGAAUGGAGUUCUCCAAGGCAGCUGUGUCUCGUGUGGUAGAGGCCUCAGACCGCCUACAGCGCCGGGUGGAGGAACUCUGUCAGCGAGUGUACAGCCGAGGGGACAGUGAGCCCCUCAGUGAGGCGGCUCGGGCACGCACCCGAGAGCUGGGCCGUGAGAACCGGCGACUGCAGGACUUGGCCACUCAGCUGCAGGAAAAACACCACCGCAUCUCGUUGGAGUACUCCGAGCUCCAAGAUAAAGUGACAUCGGCAGAGACCAAGGUGCUGGAGAUGGAGACAACAGUGGAGGACUUGCAGUGGGACAUCGAGAAGCUGCGGAAGCGAGAGCAAAAGCUCAAUAAGCACCUGGCAGAGGCCUUAGAGCAGCUUAACUCUGGCUACUAUGUAUCUGGGAGCUCCUCAGGCUUCCAGGGGGGCCAGAUCACACUCAGCAUGCAGAAGUUUGAGAUGCUGAAUGCAGAGUUAGAGGAAAACCAGGAAUUGGCCAACAGCCGCAUGGCAGAGCUGGAGAAACUGCAGGCCGAACUUCAGGGGGCUGUGCGGACAAAUGAGCGCCUCAAGGUGGCCCUGCGGAGCCUUCCUGAGGAGGUAGUGCGGGAGACGGGAGAGUACCGCAUGCUGCAGGCCCAAUUCUCACUGCUCUACAACGAGUCUCUGCAAGUGAAGACCCAGCUAGACGAGGCUCGGGGCCUGCUGCUGGCCACCAAGAACUCCCAUCUGCGACACAUCGAGCACAUGGAGAGCGACGAGCUGGGGCUGCAGAAGAAGCUGCGCACAGAGGUCAUUCAGCUGGAGGACACACUGGCCCAGGUACGCAAGGAGUAUGAGAUGCUGCGCAUCGAGUUUGAGCAGAAUCUGGCGGCCAACGAGCAGGCGGGGCCCAUCAACCGUGAGAUGCGCCACCUGAUUAGUAGUCUUCAAAACCACAACCACCAGCUAAAAGGGGACGCCCAGCGAUACAAGCGGAAGCUUCGAGAAGUACAAGCUGAGAUUGGCAAGCUCCGGGCCCAGGCCAGUGGCUCUACCCACUCCACCCCCAACCUGGGCCACCCAGAGGAUUCUGGCCUCAGUGCCCCAGCCCCAGGGAAAGAGGAGGGUGGGCCAGGCCCUGUCAGUACCCCCGACAGCAGAAAGGAGAUGGCUCCAGUGCCUGGCACCACCACUACUACCACUUCAGUGAAGAAGGAGGAGCUGGUCCCCUCUGAAGAGGAUGUCCAGGGCUUAACCCCUGGGGCCCAGGGCCCUUCCUCCCGGGGCCGAGAACCUGAGGCCAGGCCCAAGCGGGAGCUUCGGGAACGAGAAGGUCCCAGCCUCGGACCUCCACCUGUAGCCUCCGCUCUCUCAAGGGCUGAUCGGGAGAAGGCCAAGGUGGAAGAAGCCAAGCGGAAGGAAUCAGAACUCCUCAAGGGUCUCCGAGCAGAGCUCAAGAAGGCCCAGGAGAGCCAGAAGGAGAUGAAACUGCUGCUGGAUAUGUACAAGUCAGCGCCCAAGGAGCAGCGGGAUAAGGUGCAGCUCAUGGCAGCGGAACGCAAGGCCAAGGCCGAGGUUGAUGAGCUGCGGAGCCGUAUCCGGGAAUUGGAGGAGAGGGAUCGAAGGGAGAGCAAGAAGAUCGCGGAUGAGGAUGCCCUGCGGCGCAUUCGGCAGGCAGAGGAGCAGAUAGAACACCUGCAGCGCAAGCUGGGUGCUACCAAGCAGGAGGAGGAGGCUCUGCUCUCAGAGAUGGAUGUGACAGGUCAGGCUUUUGAGGACAUGCAGGAACAGAACGGGCGCCUGCUACAGCAGUUGCGGGAAAAGGAUGACGCCAACUUUAAGCUAAUGUCAGAGCGGAUCAAGGCCAACCAGAUUCACAAGCUGCUGCGGGAGGAGAAGGAUGAGUUGGGCGAGCAGGUCCUUGGCCUCAAGUCCCAGGUAUGGCCUCCCCCAGCUUGCAGGGUGGAGCUGGAGAGGGGGGGGUCAUGGCCCUGAGUCCUCCUCUGGUCCUUAGGUGGAUGCCCAGCUGCUGACUGUGCAGAAGCUGGAGGAGAAGGAACGGGCCUUGCAGGGCAGCCUCGGGGGUGUGGAGAAGGAGCUGACGCUGCGCAGCCAAGCCCUGGAGCUCAACAAGCGGAAGGCUGUAGAAGCCGCCCAGCUGGCCGAGGACUUGAAAGUGCAGCUGGAGCAUGUGCAGACUCGGCUGCGGGAGAUCCAGCCCUGCCUGGCAGAGAGCCGGGCUGCUCGUGAGAAAGAGAGCUUCAACCUCAAGAGGGCUCAGGAGGACAUCUCACGGCUGCGGCGCAAGCUGGAAAAGCAGAGGAAGGUGGAGGUCUACGCGGAUGCCGACGAAAUCCUCCAGGAGGAGAUCAAGGAGUACAAGGCGCGGUUGACCUGCCCCUGCUGUAACACCCGCAAGAAGGAUGCAGUCCUUACCAAGUGCUUCCACGUUUUCUGCUUCGAGUGCGUGCGGGGCCGCUAUGAGGCCCGCCAGAGGAAGUGCCCCAAGUGCAACGCGGCCUUUGGUGCCCACGACUUCCAUCGUAUCUACAUCAGCUGAACCUGAAACUCAGGGGACUCUGGAACACCAUGGACCCUGGGGGCUGUGCCCCCAGCCCCUCCCCACCCCAGGUCUAGUGGCCCCACCCUCCAUUCCGGACCCCAUGGGCCCAGCCCCUGCCCAUCUAGUUGGUUUGGGGACCCUGGUGCAUGCUAGUGGGCGUGGGAUCAGCCAAGCUUCGUUCCAUCUUUUCCUAAAGGUCAGAGCUGCAGCCUAGGGGGCACUGCCCUACAGAAAAGUUCUGCCUGAGAGGCCUGAGGAGCCCAGAGCACUCGACUGAGCUUCCCGGAAACUGGCCCUAACCUGUCUGUCUCCAUGGAUGCAUCUUAACCCUAAGGAAAAUUCCCCAGGCUGUGAUCUCCUACCCUAGGAAAGGCUCGCUCCCUGCCUACUGGCUCACAAAUGAGGACCAGUCCUUGUUCCUUGUUUGAGACUGGGCUGCAGGCCCCAGGAAGACUUUCCUUCACCCACCAUCCCCCUAACCUUGGCAGGGCUUCUGUCCUGUGGAGUUCCUUGGACACCUUGGUCUGGCUUUUGUGCCAAGGGCUGAAGGAGGUACCCUCUUGGCAGAUGGGGGCAUCACUCGCUUCCUUUGGGAAGCUCUAAGGUUGCUGCAGUCACCUUCCUCAUCUUGCAGGUGCUGAACCAACAUCAUCAGUUUCUAUUCUAAUCAGGCCCCUUCCCAAUCUCCACUUCUCUCCCAAGCCCAUUUACCCCCACCUCAUGCAUCCCAAGGCUCUACUGGGUCCCUGGACCUAACCCUGCUUUCAUCCUGGUGGCCUUAACUACAGUGGAGGUGGAACUUCCCAGGAGGGGAAGGGACAGACCAGCCCCAGCCGCUGGGCCAACUUCCAAUCAUUCCAGCUAGAAGAGCUUCCCCCUGACACCCUGUGACUGAGCCUGUGUCCUGUCUGCCUGCCCAGCCAUGCUCCAUCGGCUGUGAGGGCAGCGCCUGGAGAGGCCAGAGGGUUGGAACUGCAGGGGCCCGUUUGGACCCACAGCCUCUGCUCUAGAGAUGCUUGUAUAGGCUGUUAAUUGUGAUGAAUAAACGUUCAACCCUCGGCCUGUAGCCAGAGUAGACAGGCCUCGCACCCCAAAUGUAGUCCCCCGAUUUUAGCUGCAGCAGCUGAGCAGCACUUUGCUGGCUUGGUGUGAGCCUGGGAGGGCUCAGACUUAACGGUCGGCAGGGAUCCCGGACUGGGCCUGAAGGGAAGAGCGUGGUGGUCGCCGGGGAGCCGCCUGUCCUGCUCUCACGGACCCCGGUCUGACCACGCCCUUGGCUGUCAUGGCCUGGGGAUGCCGGGACUCCUCGGGCUGCAUCCUGGGAAGUGUAGUUCCUGGUCCGCACAUGGUUAGGAGGUUCUCGGAGGGAGAGCUGGUUUCCCGGUUGCGCUGGCCAAAGGCCAGCCUGAACUGGAUCCUGCGGGCCGCUUCUCAGCGGCUUCACCCCCACACCACUGGAACGCACAGAUCGUGACACCUCAGCUGGGUGACUUCCUUCAUUGCAAUCGGCUUCGGGAGCAGUGCGGCGUGUACCGAGCGGCGCCCUUGGGCUCAGCGCGCUGCAGGCGCCCCGGGCAGAUCCUUCACCGAGGCGGAACUGGGGCUGGCGCCAGAGCCGGUGCGGAGCGGUGUUGGUUCAGGCGCCGGCGACAGGGCUAUGGCCACGGUAGGGGCCGCGUGCCUCUCAGUGGUGGCGCCUUCGGGCCCCAUUGGCGCCCGGGGCUUAGGCGGGGCCACCGCUGCUGGACCAGGACGGACUGGAGACGGAGACGCGGGCCGCAACGGUGACCUCGGGCGCAGGGCUGGCGGCAGCGGGCACGCUGGUGGAAGCGCGGGCUGCGGCGGGGAAGGACAUGGGGCCGCAGAGGAAGUGCCGAUGGCCCAGGGCAGCGGUGCGAGGGUGGGAAAAACGCAGGAUAUUGCAUCAUAGAGACGCGGCCACCUGCGACCCUGGAGAGCUCCAGUCUCAGGAGCGCCGCACCGGUCACGGGUGGAGGUCAGCCAGGCCUCCGUAAGCGCGGUCCCCUUCCAGGAGUGGCCUUCGCCUGGGCUCUUGAGUAAAUGCCAAGUCAUUCCGCAUCGUCUCCCUAGGUAUCUGUGCUAAAGGCCACCCGAUCUCCUUAUCAGAGGGGCAAAACUCUCCUCGUGGGUCUUCAUACCUAAUAAAAGUCGGCAUCAAACCAC
rnacentral:sRNA from 1 species